AUAAUGGUCAACAAUGUAUAUGUGCAAAUGCAAAUGCAGGUGGCAGAGAUCCAACGGUGGAUCGGAUUUGGAUAUUUUGCCUAAUUAUCUUCCACCAAUUGGCCAUCGCCGAUUCACUAUCACACAUGAUGCUGCCGCCCAGAUUUCCUCCGCAGCGCGGCGGCGGCGGAGGCGAAUCCUUGCAUUCUCGUAGUCUCGAUUCGACGAGGAAGGGCGGCACGCAUUCCAUCGGUAAGGCAUUUAUCUGCUUCGACAUGAGGUCCUUCCUCGGUACAUUGCUGGCCCUCACCGUCGUCAUGUUCGUCUGGAAGCCUUACUACGAGAGCCUCCUCUCCGCACGUUAUCGCUGCUCCGUCGCAUCCUCAUCAUCGAUCUCUGUCGAAUCUAGUACUAGUACUGUUGAGCAGGAGCAGGAGCAGGAGCUGGAGCUGGUCAACGACAACGACGACCCCAAUAAUCGCACCUUCCGAUCCUACGGCAGCGCCGCUGAUCUCUUCGUCCAAUUCGGCGCCUACCGCGGCGGCGCCAACACGUUCACUGUGGUAGGUCUCGCUUCGAAGCCUCUUCACGUCUACGGCAGCCCGUGGUUCAAAUGCGGGUGGGAACCCAACGGCGGCGGUUCCUCAAUCGCCGGCAAGGCGCACAAGAUGCUUCCCGAUUGGGGCUACGGCCGCGUCUACACCACCGUCAUCGUCAAUUGCACGUUCCCCGAGAACCCAAACGCCGACAACCGCGGCGGCAAAUUGAUGCUCUACGCCUACUACGCAGAGUCCUCCGACAGGCACGAGAAAUUGACCUCUCUGGAGGAGCCACCGGGCGCCUACAACGAGUCUGCAUACACUCCCCCAUACAAAUACGACUAUGACUACCUCUACUGCGGUUCAUCUCUGUACGGAAACCUGAGCUCAGAUCGAAUCAGAGAGUGGAUGGCGUAUCACACGUGGUUUUUCGGUCCCCGCUCCCACUUCGUAUUCCACAACGCCGGUGGCGUUACGCCGGAGGUGGAGGCCGUGUUGGAGCCGUACGUGAAAGCUGAGAGGGUGACGAUGCAGGAUGUGAGGGCGCAGGCGGCGUUCGACAGUUACUAUUACAAUCAGUUCGUGGUGGUGAACGAUUGUCUCCACCGCUACCGAUUCGCCGCCAACUGGACAUUCUUCUUCGAUGUGGAUGAGUAUAUCUAUAUUCCCGACGGAAACACUCUGGAAUCAGUUCUCCAAGAGUUCUCCAACAACACGCAGUUUACAAUCGACCAGUAUCCCAUGUCCGCCGUGCUAUGCUUGGAGGAUUCCGCCCCCGCCCAAGGGGAGUGGGGUUUUGAGAAGCUUCUAUUCAAGGACUCAAGAACACAUAUCUGGAAAGAUCGAAAGUAUGCCAUACAAGCCAAGAAUGCAUAUGCGACAGGAAUACACAUGUCAGAGAAUGUUGAGGGCGGGACGCUCCACAACACAGAGACUAAAAUCCGAUACUAUCACUACCACAAUGCCAUCACAGUGCAUGAUGAGGUCUGCCGCACCUUGCUCCCCAUGACGGCCAUGAAUGCCACAACCUGGCUUGAUGCUGUCCCUUAUGUUUAUGACGACACCAUGAAGAAACUCGCCCCCACGAUCAAGGAAUUCGAGCGGGAUUACAUGAGAGAAAUUAAUUAGAAAGCUUCCCGGGAUUGAAAUCCAUUCCUCCAAUUUCUGUACAUCAUUUGAAGGGUUCACUUGUGGAUUGCGAUUUUGCAUUUAUUUGAGAAGAAAUAAUUGCAAGCUAGGGAGCAGUAAGCAAUGGUUUCAGUGUGUCACCAAAGGGGCGUAGAGGCUAAAAGAAGCUCCUUUCGAUGGGCUAAGUAACAGUAGCGAACAGGUGCGCUAUCUGUAAUUUAAAGCAUCAUAUCUAUUGAUGAAAGAAUGUGCAAAAUUUCUAUAAUUUCAUGCAUGUUAAGGCACAAUACUUACAUAUGCAGUUUAUCCUUUUCAAGUG